AACGGAUAAAAGAAGAGAGCACUCGUACGCAUUCAUUGCCAGAAGAAAUUGCGAGGGGGAAGCUACCAAUAGGGGGUCAUACGUGCUGACGUGGCUAGUUUUGAAGUAUUGGGAAGUUUAUUAUUGGGAUCUGCUGUGGCAUGACAUGACGAUGUUGGGGAACAAAUUUUUAGUAGAACCCCAAUACAUAAUUUUGAGAAUUUUUUUUUGAAAAACUUUUGGAAUUGCUCUUACUAAAAGCUAGGGAAACAUACAAAGCUAUCCUUGCUGUUGAUGGUACUCCUAGG
rnacentral:lncRNA from 1 species